UAGUCCACGCUGUAAACGAUGAUCACUCGUUGUUGGCAAUACAUCGUCAGCGACUGAGCGAAAGCAUUAAGUGAUCCACCUGGGGAGUACGCUCGCAAGGUUGAAACUCAAAGGAAUUGACGGGGGCCCGCACAAGCGGAGGAACAUGUGGUUUAAUUCGAUGAUACGCGAGGAACCUUACCUGGGCUUAAAUGUAGAUUGCAUAAUUUAGAAAUAGAUUUUCCCUUCGGGGCUAUUUACAAGGUGCUGCAUGGUUGUCGUCAGCUCGUGCCGUGAGGUGUCGGGUUAAGUCCCAUAACGAGCGCAACCCCUAUCGUUAGUUGCUAGCAGGUAAUGCUGAGGACUCUAGCGAGACUGCCACCGUAAGGUGAGAGGAAGGUGGGGAUGACGUCAAAUCAGCACGGCCCUUAUGUCCAGGGCUACACACGUGUUACAAUGGCAGGUACAAAGGGCAGCUACCAGGUGACUGGAUGCUAAUCUCUAAAGCCUGUCCC
rnacentral:rRNA from 1 species